rnacentral:lncRNA from 1 species
GUGGGUGGGCACCAUCCAAUCUGCUGCCAGCACAGCCAGAACACAGUAGGCGGAAGAAGGUGGGAUAGGCUGGCUUGAUGAGCCUUCUGACUUUCACCUUUCUCCCCUGCUGGAUGCAUCCAUCCAUCUCUCCCUCCUGCCUUCAGACAUCAGACUCCAGCUUCUUUGGCCUUUGGACUCUUAGACUUACACUAGUGGUUUGCUGGGGGCUUUCCGGCCUUUGGCCACAGACUGAAGGCUGCAUCGUCAGCUUCCCUACCUUUGAAGAUUUUGGACUUUGACUGAGUCACUAUUGGCUUCUUUCUUCCUCAGCUUGCAGACGGCCUAUCAUGGGACUUCACCUUGUGAUCAACCUAUUUUGGCAGGUAUACAACUUCUCCUGCAGGCUUCCUGGAUUGAUAUGACUGACUCUGGGAUUUCAAUCAAGUGGUGCUGGAGUAGAGUCACAUGACUGCUUGCUGGUCUGUGAGCCUGUUACCAGAUAUCUUUUCUGCCACAUCAAGGUGGAUGGAGUGACUUUCCAUCAAGUGCGUGGGACUGCUUACUACCAGAGGAGAAGGACUGAGGUGUUCUAUCUCUUUCCGGCACAAAUCAUCACUUCACAUAUCCCUUCUAGACAGCAGCUGUAUGAUAGCAUGAUACUUUUUUCUACUUGUUCUGAAGUGUGAACCGGAAAGAGCAGAAAGUGUUAGCCAGAGAAAAGACAUCCCUCUGUGAGGCCAGUAAAUUCUUUAAAGUUGUAUGAUCUCCAUUACCAUGAUAACAAAUUACUCAAGGCUCUUUGGCUAGGCCCAUAUGGCAUUUACUAUCUCCUCUGUAAUUUCAGCCAUAAAACUGUGAAAUUGCUCUAACUUCUAGGCAGCUUUCAACAUUUCUGUUAUUCCUUCUACUACUUACAAAGACUUCCUACUUUUUGCUGCUUGUAUCACAAUUUAAUUUUUUUUUUUUCAAUUCUAAGCCUUACAGUUGAAGGGAAAUUGCAUAGCUUUUUAGCUGUAAUUCAAGAGGUAAGUGUGUCCAGGGCUGAUCUUACAAAUUAAUCCUGAUUUGAUGUUGUUUACAGAUAGCUUUUUCUUAAAAAUGACAAAGAUAUUUCCUGUGCAAGAUAUGUUAAUAUGUAAUUAUCAUGGAAUAUGUAACCAUCAAAUCAGGUAUUGCUCUGUUUUCCCAAGUAAGUAAACUAAUACCUUUGAAUUGAUCCUACAUUCUGGCACACACACACACACAAAAGUAAACAUUUAACAUAUAGUAGAUGUGUUUUAGUUCAUGAUUUUGCGGUGCUAUGAAAGCAAAAGGAAUUUGAGACAUAUUCAGGUAACCUGAUUAAAAAAUGAUAAAUUGAUCAAUUACAUAUUAAAAGCUAUUAAGUCCCCAAGAAAUAUCAGCUAUUAAAAUAUAAGCUAAUACUUCAGAGGUCACCACAGAAGCUAAAAGCAAUGCCUUUGCUAGUUUAUUUGGUAAACAAGCAGCUCUUGCUAUCCAACCCAUGGAGGUGCUAUUAAGUUUACAUCUAUCUUAUUAAGCAUUCAGAAAGAUAAUUGACUCAAUUUAGGUAAUUAUAAUUGUUUACAACUUAGCUAUUCUAUUUAAACUUUGCAACCAAAGCAUAAGUAGUAGUAUUAUUUUCUCUCAUUUUACAGAUGAGAAAUCCGAGGCUCAAAUGUAACGAGUUUCUUCAGGGGAGCCAGGGUACAAACCCAGGUCCUUUUGACGUUUAAGUCAAUAUGCUUAACCACUACUACAGUAUAUUGCCAAAGGUUUUCUCUACUCUUUAGAGCAGCCAUUCUUUUUCUGUUUAAUAUUUUUUUUACUGUCUCAUGCAAUUUCCCUUCAAAAUUGCCUUGCCUUUUUUUUUUUAAUCUUUCUGGAACAAAUCUUUUCUGAAAAUGUGUGAUGUAUUUCCCACUCCCUCCUCUCCUUGCCAUUUUCCCCAAUUUUAAAAAAUUGAGCUAAAUUGUAUGUAACAUAAAGUGUACCAUCUUAACCAUUUUAAAAUAUACAGUUAAGUGGCAUUAAAUACAUUUCUAGUGUUGUGCAACCAUCAUUGCUAUUCAUCUCUGUAACUCUUUUCAUCUUGUAAAACUGAUAUUCUAUCUAUUAAACAGCAACUUCCUUUUCUUCCCUCUCCCCAGCCCCUGGCAAUCAGCAUUCUACUUUCUGUCUUUAUGAUUUUGGCUGCUGUAACUUCCUUGUGUAAAUGAAAUCAUACAAUAUUUGUCUUUUAAUGACUGGUUUAU